rnacentral:rRNA from 1 species
UACGUAGGGUGCAAGCGUUGUCCGGAAUUAUUGGGCGUAAAGAGCUCGUAGGCGGUUCGUCGCGUCGGCUGUGAAAACCCGGAGCUCAACUCCGGGCCUGCAGUCGAUACGGGCGGACUUGAGUGUUGCAGGGGAGACUGGAAUUCCUGGUGUAGCGGUGAAAUGCGCAGAUAUCAGGAGGAACACCGGUGGCGAAGGCGGGUCUCUGGGCAACUACUGACGCUGAGGAGCGAAAGCGUGGGAGCAAACAGG